rnacentral:rRNA from 1 species
AGUGAACGCUGGCGGUAGGCCUAACACGUGCAAGUCGAACGGCAGCACAGUAAGAGCUUGCUCUUACGGGUGGCGAGUGGCGGACGGGUGCGGAAUACAUCGCAAUCUACUUUUUCGUGGGGGAUAACGUAGGGAAUCUUACGCUAAUACCGCUUACGACCUACGGGUGAAAGCAGGGGAUCUUCGGACCUUGCGCGAUUGAAUGAGCCGAUGUCGGAUUAGCUAGUUGGCGGGGUAAAGGCCCACCAAGGCGACGAUCCGUAGCUGGUCUGAGAGGAUGAUCAGCCACACUGGAACUGAGACACGGUCCAGACUCCUACGGGAGGCAGCAGUGGGGAAUAUUGGACAAUGGGCGCAAGCCUGAUCCAGCCAUACCGCGUGGGUGAAGAAGGCCUUCGGGUUGUAAAGCCCUUUUGUUGGGAAAGAAAAGCAGCAGGUUAAUACCCCGCUGUUCUGACGGUACCCAAAGAAUAAGCACCGGCUAACUUCGUG